UACGUAGGGGGCAAGCGUUGUCCGGAUUUAUUGGGCGUAAAGAGCGUGUAGGCGGCCAGAUAGGUCCGUUGUGAAAACUGGAGGCUUAACCUCCAGCGGUCGAUGGAAACCAUUUGGCUAGAGUCCGGAAGAGGAGAGUGGGAUUCCUGGUGUAGCGGUGAAAUGCGCAGAUAUCAGGAAGAACACCCGUGGCGAAGGCGGCUCUCUGGGACGAUACUGACGCUGAGACGCGAAAGCGUGGGGAGCGAACAGG
rnacentral:rRNA from 1 species